rnacentral:rRNA from 1 species
CCUACGGGCGGCAGCAGUGGGGAAUAUUGCACAAUGGGGGAAACCCUGAUGCAGCGACGCCGCGUGAGUGAAGAAGUAUCUCGGUACGUAAAGCUCUAUCAGCAGGGAAGAAAAUGACGGUACCUGACUAAGAAGCCCCGGCUAACUACGUGCCAGCAGCCGCGGUAAUACGUAGGGGGCAAGCGUUAUCCGGAUGUACGGGGUGUAACGGGAGCGUAGACGGCAGCGCAAGUCUGGAGGGAAAUCCCGGGGCUUAACCCCGGAACUGCUUUGGAAACUGGGCGGUGGGAGGGCAGGAGGGGGAAGCGGAAUUCCUAGGGUAGCGGUGAAAUGCGUAGAUAUGAGGAGGAACACCGGAGGCGAAGGCGGCGUACUGGACUGGAACUGACGGGGAGGCUCGAAAGCGUGGGGAGCAAACAGGAUUAGAUACCCGAGUAGUC